AUCCAGCUGACGAGUCCCAAAUAGGACUUGACGCGCGACAGACUGGAU
rnacentral:hammerhead_ribozyme from 1 species